rnacentral:rRNA from 1 species
UACGAAGGGGGCUAGCGUUGUUCGAAAUUACUGGGCGUAAAGCGCACGUAGGCGGAUCUUUAAGUCAGGGGUGAAAUCCCGAGGCUCAACCUCGGAACUGCCUUUGAUACUGGGGAUAUCGAGUCCGGGAGAGGUGAGUGGAACUGCGAGUGUAGAGGUGAAAUUCGUAGAUAUUCGCAAGAACACCAGUGGCGAAGGCGGCUCACUGGCCCGGUACUGACGCUGAGGUGCGAAAGCGUGGGGAGCAAACAGG